rnacentral:rRNA from 1 species
UACGGGGGGGGCAAGCGUUGUUCGGAAUUACUGGGCGUAAAGGGCUCGUAGGCGGCCAACUAAGUCAGACGUGAAAUCCCUCGGCUUAACCGGGGAACUGCGUCUGAUACUGGAUGGCUUGAGGUUGGGAGAGGGAUGCGGAAUUCCAGGUGUAGCGGUGAAAUGCGUAGAUAUCAGGAGGAACACCGGUGGCGAAGGCGGAUCUCUGGGCCUUACCUGACGCUCAGGCGCGAAAGCUAGGGGAGCGAACUGG